AAAGAUUUUAAUAAAGCAAAUGGUGGAUGCCUUGGCUGCUGAAGCCGAAGAAGGACGCAAAAGGCGGCGAAACUGAUCGGGGAGUUGCCAAUAAACGGUGAUCCGAUCGAAUCCGAAUGUAGAAAUACCAUCUAUCGAAAGAUAAAUGAGGCUACACGUAAGUGUGGCCGGGUAAUCCGGGGAAGCGAAACAUCCUAGUACCCGGGGGAAAAGAAAUCGUAUGAGAUUCCGUUAGUAGCGGUGAGCGAAAACGGAUGAGCCUAAACCACAAUUUAUUGUGGGGUUGCAGGGUUUUGCAUAAUAUUUUGAAAGAACAGAAAAAGUCUCUGGAAUGAGACACCAAAGAGGGUGAGAGUCCCGUAUUUGAAUUUUAAGUAAAAAUAGGCAGAAUACCUAAGUACCGCGAUCCACGUGAAAUGUCGCGGGAAUCUGGGGAGACCAAUCUCCAAGGCUAAAUACUUCAGCGGACCGAUAGUGAACUAGUACCGUGAGGGAAAGGUGAAAAAUACCCUAAAUAAGGGAGUGAAAUAAUUCUGAAACCAUUUGCUAACAAACAGACAGAGCUUGCGCUUCGCACUGAGGAUUUAAUACUUUCAAACUCUCGUUACCAUUUUUUCAAAACAGUCAAUGCUGACGUGUUGAAUCAUUUUGAAAAAAGAUAACUUCAAGUUUGAAAUUAUUGUCUUGAGUGCGGGGCGCGAGUGAUGUCGUGCCUAUUGAAGAAUGAGUCUGCGAGUAUUCUCAAUUACCAAGUCUAAGCCCCUAAAGGGGUGGAGGCGGAGCGAAAGCGAGUCUGAAUAAGGCUAUUAGGUAAUUGGGGGUGACCCGAAGCCACUUGAGCUAACCAUGGUCAGGGUGAACGUCAGUGAAAACUGACGGGAGGCCCGUACGGAUCAGAGCUGCAAAUCUGUCCGAUGAACUGUGGUUAGGGGUAAUAUGCCAAUCGAAAGUGGGAAUAGCUGGCUCUCUCCGAAAUAUAUAUAGGUAUAGCGUCUAGUGUUCCUUGGUGGGGGUAGAGCUACUGGAUGAAUGUUUUGAGCGCAAGUUCAGGCAUUUAACCAAACUCCGAAUACCGCCAAGUUAAGCUAGGCAGUCAGUCCGACCGGGCUAAGCUGGCCGGGCAAGAGGGGAAGACCCCAGACUAUCAUCUAAGGUCUCUAAGUUUAUGUUAAGUGGGAAAGGCGGUGGAUUGCCUAAGACAGACAGGAGGUUGGCUCAGAAGCAGCCAUCCUUUAAAGAAAGCGUAAUAGCUCACUGUUCGACCCGACCGCAAGGUUAGGUCGGCAAUCUGCACCUAAAAUGUAAGGAGGCUAAAACAUAACACCGAAGUUGUAGGCUUUGUUCUGAUUUAUCAGAACGGAGCAGUAGGAGAGCGUUCUAGAGGCGGUGAAGGUGACCCGUAAGGAGUUGCUGGAGCGUCUAGAAGUGAGAAUGCAGACAUGAGUAACGAAAUGGCAGUGAGAAUCUGCCACGUCGAAAUAUCCAAGGUUUCCUCAGCUACGUUGUUCGUCUGAGGGUAAGUCGAUCCUAACGCGAGGCCCUGUUUAAUAGGGGCGUAACGGAUGGAUAACCGGUUAAUAUUCCGGUACUUCCUAAAAUUCGUUUUAAUUUGGGGCGUGACGAUGUGUGGGGUUUUUGGUCCCGCAGUGAAAUUGCGGGAUUUAAGCGUCUAGCUAGAAGGGGUAGGAAAAUCCGCCUUUUCGUUAUAAAGUGAAGCGCGAAUAAGAGUCUUGAGAAAUCAGGACAAUCAAAAUGAACCCAUGUAUCCAAGAAAAGCGUCGCGAAUAGAAUUUUGGGAAAUCGUACUAAAACCGACACUGGUGGAUAAGUCGAGAAGACUAAGACGAUUGGAAGACAGAUGGUUAAGGAACUUGGCAAACAAACUGGGUGUAAGCUAUGCAAGAUACCCUGCCCACCCUAACAAGUGGGCUACAACAAAAGACUGUACGGCGACUGUUUACCACAAACACAGGUCCAUGCAAACCCGUAAGGGGAGGUAUAUGGGCUGAAACCUGACCGGUGCCAGAAGGUUAAAAUGGCGAGUGAUAGGCGUAAGUUUAUUGCUUGUUGUAUAAGCCCUGGUGAACGUCAGCAGUAACUCUAACUGUUCUAAGGUAGCGAAGUCCUUUGUCGUGUAAGUUACGACACGUAUGAAAGGUUUAACGACUGUACAACUGUCUUAACCAUCUAUCCAGUGAAAUUGAAAGAGCGGUGAAGAUGCCGUUUAAUUACUACAGGACAAAAAGACCCCAUGAAGCUUUACUGGAUCUUUACAUUGAUAAGAAUAUAAUGAUUGUCGAGAGUAGGAGGGAGCGCUUGCGCAACGAUGGAACACCUCCCUUUGUUAUAUUUGAAUCUUACCUAUCCGAAUGAAUCUUCGGAGGGGACCGUGUAUGGUUGCUAGUUUGCCUGGGGCAGGCACCUGCAAAAAAGUAACGCGGGUACACAAAGGUCAACUUGGUCCGGCAGGAAAUCGGACUGUAAGUGCAAAAACAUAAGUUGGCUUGACUGUGAGACAUACUAGUCGAAGUCCCGCAAGGGACGUUCCAAUCAUUAAUUUAGUUUGGAAUCAGGGUCGAAAGACGGUUUUAGUGAUCCUCGUGACUCAUUUGGUAUGAGCACGGGCUUACUGGAUAAAAGCUACUCUGGGGAUAACAGGCUAGUCGCAUCCGAUAGUUCACAUUGACGAUGCGGUUCGGCACCUCGAUGUCGACUUGGCGCAUCCUGGCCCUGAAGAAGGGGCCAAGGGUUGGUCUGUUCGCCCAUUAAAGCGCUGCGUUAGUUGGGUUCAGAGCGUCGCGAGACAGCUCGGUCUCUAUCCGUAGUAAUCGUUCGAUUCUUGAAGGAAUUCAUCUACAGUACGAGAGGACCUAGAUGAGGAAACCUCUAGUGUGCCAGUUGUCCCGUCAGGGGCAUCGCUGGGUAGCUACGUUUCUAUUAGAUAACUGCUGAAAGCAUCUCAAGCAGGAAACUGACCCUAAGAUAAGGAAUCGUUGUCCGACGCAAGUCGGAUGAGAAAUCGCCGGGAGACUACCGGUUAAUACGCCGCGUGUGGAAGGCUCGUAAGAGUUUAAGCUAAGCGGUGGAAUGAUUAAAGAAAUCUUCAA
rnacentral:rRNA from 1 species